rnacentral:tRNA from 2 species
GCGGUCGUAGCUCAAUUGGAUAGAGCAUCUGACUACGGAUCAGAAGGUUGUGGGUUCAAGUCCCGCCGAGCGCACCA